UACGUAGGGGGCAAGCGUUGUCCGGAUUUAUUGGGCGUAAAGCGCUCGCAGGUGGUUCGAUGCGUCGUGCGUGAAAGACCCCGGCUCAACUGGGGGGGGUCGUGCGAUACGGUCGAACUGGAGGCCAGUAGGGGGAUGCGGAAUUCCGGGUGUAGUGGUGGAAUGCGUAGAGAUCCGGAGGAACACCAGCGGCGAAGGCGGCAUCCUGGACUGGUCCUGACACUCAUGAGCGAAAGCGUGGGGAGCGAGCCGG
rnacentral:rRNA from 1 species